GAGACAGUUUGGUCCAUAUCCGGUGUAGGCGUUAGAGCAUUGAGAGGAACCUUCUAUAGUACGAGAGGACCUAGAAUGGGGGCGCCAAUGGUGUACCAGUUCUCACUCCAGUGGGAAACGCUGGGUAGCUAUGCGCCAAGUAGAUAAAAGCUGACAGCAUCUAAGUUUGAAGCUCACCUCAAGAUGAGUGCUCUCCAUUAGGUCGCGGCAAGACAAGCCGUUUAAUAGGCAUUAGGUGUACAAUCAGUAAUGAUUUUAGCCGAGAUGUACUAAAGACCGAUUGAUUUUGACCUU
rnacentral:rRNA from 1 species